rnacentral:rRNA from 1 species
ACUCAAAUGAAUUGACGGGGGUCCGCACAAGCGGUGGAACAUGUGGUUUAAUUCGACACUACGCGAGGAACCUUACCUAGGCUUGACAUGUUCUUGACAGGUACAGAAACGUACUCUUCUUGGCUUCGGUCAAGACAAGAUCACAGGUGCUGCAUGGCUGUCGUCAGCUCGUGUCGUGAGAUGUUGGGUUAAGUCCUCUAACGAGCGCAACCCCUGCUGUCAGUUGCCACUACUUUUUAGUAAGCACUCUGAUAGAACUGCCUGGGAAACCAGGAGGAAGGUGGGGAUGACGUCAAGUCAUCAUGGUCCUUAUGCCUAGGGCUACACACGUGUUACAAUGGCUAAUACAAAGGGCUGCAAACUUGCAAAAGUAAGCUAAUCCCAGAAAGUUAGUCUAAGUUCAGAUUGAGGUCUGCAACUCGACCUCAUGAAGUUGAAAUCGCUAGUAAUCGCAUAUCAGCUACGAUGCGGUGAAUACGUUCUCGGACCUUGUACACACCGCCCGU